CCAUGGCUCAAUUGGCAGAGCAACGGACUCUUAAUCCGUAGGUUGUAGGUUCGAUUCCUACUGGGC
rnacentral:tRNA from 1 species